ensembl:lncRNA
AGGAGAUCCGGCUGGGCCGGAGGAACCCGCGCAUACGCACCCGCGCGGGGUGUGGGGGUUGCAAACCAGAGAUCCGGACUGCGUGAACGCGGACGGGGGAGGCCCGCACACAAACGAGAGCCGCCAGAUGGUCACCGAGUCCCCCCCUCUCACCCCCAUUAUUGCUCCACCGAAAGCCCACCCGGACAAGCGUGAGCCUCCGAGGCCGGAGGUCCCACCGGCGUCUCCCCCCGCCCCCCAGCUCCUUCCUUCACCCCGCCAGGCGUCCCGCCGAACGGAGACCGCGCUCGUUCCAACUCAAUUAACUCGCUGCCGAGGCCGCCGCCGGCGACGAGCUCCUCCUGCAAUUAGGGCCGCGCCGGCGAGGGCGGGGGCGGGGCGCGCAGGUUUCCGUGGCUGGCCUGGGCUCCGCCGGCGGUUCUUCUGCUCUGUGUGAUGCUCCAUAGCAUGAGCUGGGCUGGACGUCCAGGCUGCUGGGUCUCCUGGUUGCUGGUUGGUGCUGGCCGUUGCGGGGAGCUCAGCCUGGGACUUCUCACCAGAGCACGUGAGUUCUCCCUGUGGCCUGGCCACGUGGCUCCAGCUUCUAAUAACAGGGUGCCUGGAUCCCCAGAAGAUGAUGUGGAAGCUUCCAGCCUUCUUAAGACCUGGGUUCAGAUAUCCCAGACCACCAUUCUAUUGGCCAGAGCAGUAGAGGCCCAGCCUGGACUCGAGGGGAGGGCUCCAUCUCUGGACAGGAGCCCGCCUUGCACCUCAGGCCGGGUGGCAUUGUUGGGGAGCAUCUUUGGAGCUUAGGAGCGAACCGUGGAGCUGAUUGCCACUUGAGGAGGACCACUCUGGCUGCUGUGCAGAGAGGAGUGUGUGCUCAGAGUCCCCUGGGACCGAAGCAUCACCUCCAUGCCCUCCUCAUCUUCACCUCGACUUCUGCAUUAAAGGUCAGCCCUCCCAGGGCCCCUGGGGGUGAGCACUGACUGAGGGAGAAUCUCAACCUCCCUCGGCCUCAUCCCAACUGACAGACCCCGCUGCUCCCUCUGGCUUGGGUUCCCAAGGGCACACCCUCCUCCACAACCCAGACAGUGGCAGUGUGUGGACUCCAUAGAAAUGGAGAAAGGGUUUUUCAUCCAGCUUAGCCAGAGAAGGGCAAAGAAAUUGGUUUUAAAAUUGAUGGAGACAGAUACACAGAGAGGAGGACACCAUGUGAAGACACGGAGACCUGGGGAGAGGCCACGUGACCGCAGAGGCAGUGACUGGAGGGAGUAGAAUGCCGCGGACGGCGGCCACACCAGGAGCUGGGAGAGGAGCUUGAAAUCGAUCCUCCACCAGAGGCCCCGGAAAGAACCGACCCUGCCGACCGCUCGAUUCCAGGCUUCUGACCCCGCAACCGCGAGAGACUCAAUUUCUGCUGUUUUAAGCUCCCCAGUGAGCGGUACAUGGGUGUGGCAGCCCCAGGACCGCGUACAGGUUUAGAGAUCUCAUUUUUCGUGCAUAUGUAUGUAUUUGUUCAAUAAAAGAGAUGGCAUUAUAAAUCAGUGGCAGUGAAUAAAAUUCGUUAAAUUGUGUUGGUUAAAAAAAACAAGAUCGAAUGUUGUCUAUAUAAUUGAUGUGCUCAUAGAGAUAAAAAUCCAA